UGCAGUCGAACGAUGAUGCCAGCUUGCUGGUGGAUUAGUGGCGAACGGGUGAGUAACACGUGAGUAACCUGCCCUUGACUCUGGGAUAAGCCUGGGAAACUGGGUCUAAUACCGGAUAUGACUCCUCAUCGCAUGGUGGGGGGUGGAAAGCUUUUUGUGGUUUUGGAUGGACUCGCGGCCUAUCAGCUUGUUGGUGAGGUAAUGGCUUACCAAGGCGACGACGGGUAGCCGGCCUGAGAGGGUGACCGGCCACACUGGGACUGAGACACGGCCCAGACUCCUACGGGAGGCAGCAGUGGGGAAUAUUGCACAAUGGGCGAAAGCCUGAUGCAGCGACGCCGCGUGAGGGAUGACGGCCUUCGGGUUGUAAACCUCUUUCAGUAGGGAAGAAGCGAAAGUGACGGUACCUGCAGAAGAAGCGCCGGCUAACUACGUGCCAGCA
rnacentral:rRNA from 1 species